rnacentral:misc_RNA from 1 species
GGGCAAUAUUACUGUCCAUGAUAUAGAUAAAGAAAAACUAGAACGAAAUAACAAUAAAAUUGAUCAACACUUAUCAAUAACUAACAUCAACACCUCCAAGAACAAACAAGAAAAGAACAGGACAAACAUAGAACUUUGGCAGAAUGUAAACUGUUCAUAACAGGAUUGAAAGCAUGCCAAGGGAAAGAACAGCAUUCACCCAACAAACAAGAAUUAGAGACACCACUCAUUUGAGAAGUGUCUUGACAAUAGAUUUCACAUUGAGCUUUUUGAGAUCCGUAUAAGAU